AGUGAACGCUGGCGGUAGGCCUAACACAUGCAAGUCGAACGGCAGCACAGUAAGAGCUUGCUCUUACGGGUGGCGAGUGGCGGACGGGUGAGGAAUACAUCGGAAUCUACCUUUUCGUGGGGGAUAACGUAGGGAAACUUACGCUAAUACCGCAUACGACCUACGGGUGAAAGCAGGGGAUCUUCGGACCUUGCGCGAUUGAAUGAGCCGAUGUCGGAUUAGCUAGUUGGCGGGGUAAAGGCCCACCAAGGCGACGAUCCGUAGCUGGUCUGAGAGGAUGAUCAGCCACACUGGAACUGAGACACGGUCCAGACUCCUACGGGAGGCAGCAGUGGGGAAUAUUGGACAAUGGGCGCAAGCCUUAUCCAGCCAUACCGCGUGGGUGAAGAAGGCCUUCGGGUUGUAAAGCCCUUUUGUUGGGAAAGAAAAGCAGCAGGUUAAUACCCCGCUGUUCUGACGGUACCCAAAGAAUAAGCACCGGCUAACUUCGUG
rnacentral:rRNA from 1 species